AUCAAACCAUAUAAUAGAAUUUAUAGCAAGCCAUUUAUAUAUUUGUAUUCUGUUCCAUCCAAGUUCAGAGGUAAGAGAUGCUCAUUAAAGCACAAUUUCGGAACCAGAAGAAGUUCAUCAAAAUCCCAGAGGCUUGCUUUGACAUAUUCAUAGAGGAGGGUGAGUGAUGUACAAAGAAAACUUGUUUUUUAUUCAGUUUCUUUCCAUAUAUAUUUAAAAGGAAAAUAAAAUUGACUUCUUGCCUUGCAGUGAAAGAGAAUUUCUCAAUACCUGAAGAUGUUGCAGUUACAGUUACAGAUGAAACUGGAACAGAGGUGGAUAAAGAUGUGUUUCCGGAUCUGGCAACCACCAGUGGAUUAAUUUUUGUCAUAAAUGAUUAAAUGCGGGGUGAGAUGGACCUUCCACACCUCGAUCUUCAGUCAGCUUAGAUACAGAUACAGUGUCUGUAACUUCAAAAAGCAGCGAGGACAGUGACUGGUUUAGUCCAAAACGAUUCAGACAGGAUGAGGAUGAGGCUUCAAAGAGCUCACAGGCCAGAGAUUUGAUAAAACAAAUUCUACGGAAAAGACCGGGUGGGGCAAAUGUACUGAAGGAAUAUGAAGAUACAGGGACAAUUAGCGAUGAAAUGAGAAAAGUGAUGGUGAACAUCCUAGUUGCACACAUGACAGAGACAGAAG